CCUACGGGUGGCAGCAGUGGGGAAUAUUGCACAAUGGGCGAAAGCCUGAUGCAGCAACGCCGCGUGAAGGAAGAAGGGUUUCGGCUCGUAAACUUCUAUCAACAGGGACGAAAGAAAUGACGGUACCUGAAUAAGAAGAGUCGGCUAACUACGUGCCAGCAGCCGCGGUAAGACGGAGGGGGCAAGCGUUAUCAGGAAUUACUGGGUGUAAAGGGUGAGUAGGCGGCAAGGUAAGCCAGAUGUGAAAGCCUUGGGCUUAACACGUGGAUUGCAUUUGGAACUAUCAAGCUAGAGUACAGGAGAGGUAAGCGGAAUUGCUAGUGUAGCGGUGAAAUGCGUAGAUAUUAGAAAGAACACCAGUGGCGAAGGCGGCUUUCUAAACUGAAACUGACGCUGAGGCACGAAAGCGUGGGGAGCGAACAGGAUUAGAUACCCUUGUAGUC
rnacentral:rRNA from 1 species